rnacentral:rRNA from 1 species
CAAGCGUUAAUCGGAAUUACUGGGCGUAAAGCGCGCGUAGGUGGUUUGAUAAGCGAGAUGUGAAAGCCCCGGGCUUAACCUGGGAACGGCAUUUCGAACUGUCAGGCUAGAGUAUGGUAGAGGAGUGUGGAAUUUCCUGUGUAGCGGUGAAAUGCGUAGAUAUAGGAAGGAACACCAGUGGCGAAGGCGGCACUCUGGACCAAUACUGACACUGAGGUGCGAAAGCGUGGGGAGCAAACAGGA